rnacentral:rRNA from 1 species
GUGGUCGCUCUCGCUUGGAGACCAGCGGAGGGAUCAUUACCGAGUUUACAACUCCCAAACCCCUGUGAACAUACCACUUGUUGCCUCGGCGGAUCAGCCCGCUCCCGGUAAAACGGGACGGCCCGCCAGAGGACCCCUAAACUCUGUUUCUAUAUGUAACUUCUGAGUAAAACCAUAAAUAAAUCAAAACUUUCAACAACGGAUCUCUUGGUUCUGGCAUCGAUGAAGAACGCAGCAAAAUGCGAUAAGUAAUGUGAAUUGCAGAAUUCAGUGAAUCAUCGAAUCUUUGAACGCACAUUGCGCCCGCCAGUAUUCUGGCGGGCAUGCCUGUUCGAGCGUCAUUUCAACCCUCAAGCACAGCUUGGUGUUGGGACUCGCGUUAAUUCGCGUUCCUCAAAUUGAUUGGCGGUCACGUCGAGCUUCCAUAGCGUAGUAGUAAAACCCUCGUUACUGGUAAUCGUCGCGGCCACGCCGUUAAACCCCAACUUCUGAAUGUUGACCUCGGAUCAGGUAAGAAUACCC